rnacentral:rRNA from 1 species
UGCCAGCCGCCGCGGUAAUACGGAGGGUGCAAGCGUUGUUCGGAAUUACUGGGCGUAAAGCGAGUGUAGGCGGCCGCGCAGGUCGGAUGUGAAAUCCCAGGGCCCAACCCUGGAACUGCAUCCGAAACCGCGUAGCUAGAGUCCCGGAGAGGAUGGCGGAAUUUCCGGUGUAGAGGUGAAAUUCGUAGAUAUCGGAAGGAACACCAGUGGCGAAGGCGGCCAUCUGGACGGUGACUGACGCUCAGACUCGAAAGCGUGGGGAGCAAACAGGAUUAGAUA